GUUGGGAUAGCGCAAGUGAGCUGAACUUCUGCGCUGCUGUAGUGCACUAUCCUCAAUUUAAUACUUUAUUUCAGAGAUUAUUUCCUUUGACGAAAACAGCUCUAGCCUCGUGCGCUUUUAUUAACACCACAAGGACUGUCGGACUCGCUCUUCUCCCAGUAAUUAACAGGUUUAUCGGGAAGUUGAGAUGUUUACAGUGAUAUCCGGGUUUCCAGUGCUGUCCUGUGAUUUCUGAAAGCAGGUAAGCCACUGACUAACGCACAUUGCGCCUGUUCUCCACUCCACUGUGCGUGUGACAGCGGCUAACCAGCUUUUGGAUGAGUGCCUGACCUCAGCGUCCCACCGGAGCGUCCUGAGCGGCUUGAGGCGGACACGGCCCCUGGAGGGACGACUUUGGGCCCCCGGCCCUCCACCAAGUCUUUUUGUUCCCCUGGUAAAGCACUGCGCUUGAAACCCAGAGGUUGUGGGUUCAAAUCCCAUGCAACACGUGCUAAGAAAGGGA